UACGGGGGGGGCAAGCGUUGUUCGGAAUUCCUGGGCGUAAAGGGCUCGUAGGCGGCCAACUAAGUCGGAUGUGAAAUCCCCAGGCUUAACCUGGGAACUGCGUCUGAUACUGGAAGGCUCGAGUUCGGGAGAGGAAUGUGGAAUUCCAGGUGUAGCGGUGAAAUGCGUAGAUAUCUGGAGGAACACCGGUGGCGAAGGCGGCAUCCUGGACCGGUAUUGACGCUGAGGCGCGAAAGCCAGGGGAGCAAACGGG
rnacentral:rRNA from 1 species